rnacentral:tRNA from 1 species
GCCCUCAUGGUCUAGUGGUAAGAUACCUGCUUUGGGCUUGUCCUUGCAGGUGAUCCUCGGUUCGAACCCGGGUGGGGGCC